rnacentral:rRNA from 1 species
UAAGCAUAUCAAUAAGCGGAGGAAAAGAAACCAACAGGGAUUGCCCCAGUAACGGCGAGUGAAGCGGCAAGAGCUCAAAUUUGAAAGCUGGCUCCUUCGGGGUCCGCAUUGUAAUUUGCAGAGGAUGCUUCGGGAGCGGUCCCCAUCUAAGUGCCCUGGAACGGGACGUCAUAGAGGGUGAGAAUCCCGUAUGGGAUGGGGUGUCCGCGCCCGUGUGAAGCUCCUUCGACGAGUCGAGUUGUUUGGGAAUGCAGCUCUAAAUGGGUGGUAAAUUUCAUCUAAAGCUAAAUAUUGGCCGGAGACCGAUAGCGCACAAGUAGAGUGAUCGAAAGAUGAAAAGCACUUUGAAAAGAGAGUUAAAAAGCACGUGAAAUUGUUGAAAGGGAAGCGCUUGCGACCAGACUCGCUCGCGGGGUUCAGCCGGCAUUCGUGCCGGUGUACUUCCCCGCGGGCGGGCCAGCGUCGGUUUGGGCGGUCGGUCAAAGGCCCUCGGAAGGUAACGCCCCUAGGGGCGUCUUAUAGCCGAGGGUGCAAUGCGACCUGCCUAGACCGAGGAACGCGCUUCGGCUCGGACGCUGGCAUAAUGGUCGUAAGCGACCCGUCUUGAAACACGGACCAAGGAGUCUAACAUCUACGCGAGUGUUCGGGUGUCAAACCCGUGCGCGAAGUGAAAGCGAACGGAGGUGGGAACCCUCACGGGUGCACCAUCGACCGAUCCUGAAGUCUUCGGAUGGAUUUGAGUAAGAGCGUAGCUGUUGGGACCCGAAAGAUGGUGAACUAUGCCUGAAUAGGGCGAAGCCAGAGGAAACUCUGGUGGAGGCUCGUAGCGGUUCUGACGUGCAAAUCGAUCGUC